rnacentral:lncRNA from 1 species
AUGGUGCUUGCCAAGCCUGCUUUCUGUGUGCUGCUCCUGUCUAUACUGGGCUCGGCUCUGGGGCGCGGCGGCAGGCGCAGGGACUGCAACGUGCCCGACGUGCUUCGGCAUUACCGCGCGGUCAUCUUCGAAGAGUUGCAGGCGGUGAAAAACUUGACGGGCACCGGGGCUCUCAGGCGCCGGGGACGAGGCGCCUCCUGCCGGGCAGAAAAGGAGCACCGCAUCUUGAUGUCUAUCUCAUCCAUGGGACGGGCUCUGCGCAAGGCAGUGGCAGGGGCCGGGGCUGGACCCGGACGCCGCCGCGGAGCCCUGGAGAAGGCCGUGUGGACAGUGGCCAUGCACACUGAGGCAGUGACCCGAGAGUACUGCGGGACUCUGCAUCAGCGAAGCCAGAAGCGGCUGAGCCAGGAGUGGCAGGAGCGGAAGCGGGGUCCGGAGAUGGAGCCAGAGCUGAACCUGGAGCCGGCCCUUGCCCCGGGUCGGAGUCGGGGUCGGGGUCAGAGACGGCGUCUGUUGGGAGCCGUGGAACACUUGGCUGCCUGUUGGGAGAAAUUGUUUUUUCUGCGCUCCCUGGCUUCGGCCGCCGGGAGCUAUUAG